GACGUAGGGUGCGAGCGUUGUCCGGAUUUAUUGGGCGUAAAGAGCUCGUAGGCGGCUCGUCGCGUCAGCUGUGAAAACCCGCGGCUUAACCGUGGGCUUGCAGCUGAUACGGGCGGGCUAGAGUUCGGUAGAGGAGACUGGAAUUCCUGGUGUAGCGGUGAAAUGCGCAGAUAUCAGGAGGAACACCGGUGGCGAAGGCGGGUCUCUGGGCCGAUACUGACGCUGAGGAGCGAAAGCGUGGGGAGCGAGCAGG
rnacentral:rRNA from 1 species